rnacentral:lncRNA from 1 species
UUGAGGUAAAGAAUUAUAAUAACCUGCGGAGUCUCCCUUAAAUCUGAUUACCUCCUCUUUCUCUUUCUCUCUCAGAAUGGAGUACUCCAGAGCAAUGUUCUCCACUUCUCCCACGGCAUCAUGACACCCCUAAAUCUCUCUUCUAAUUAGGAUAUUCUUCUCUGGGCUCUCAGGUCCCUGGAGGUCUCAGGGACAUUGGUGCCAUGUUCAGUGUCUAAAAGCUUCAGAAGACACCAGCAGUGGAAGGUUGUAGGAUUCAUCAAUGGCUAGGGCUGGUUACAGGAAGAUAUUAUGAUGCUUUGAAGGUUGUCCUGGUCAUCUUUAUAAAAUAUAUGUCAAACACACCUGCUGAGACUUACAGAACGCUGACAGAGGUAACACUGAACAAUGCAGUUUACUUACAUCUUUUUCUGUUUGACACAAGACAGUUAUUGGUAAGUAUAAUUAUUCGAUAUAGUUAUUUUCCAUGUUUAAAAUAUGAAAAUAUGCAAUAUAGGUUGGUACUAGGAGGGGAAAUCUGCUUCUGAUCAAAAUUUUAUUUUAAAUAUCGUUUUUAUUUCUUUUGUCCUAAGUUAUAUACUUUUUCUUCUAUUACUUAUUGUGAAGUUACUUUAAAACAAAACAAAAUCAAGGAAAGCAAUCAACCAAGAUUUAAAAACUAAUAAUAGCAGAAUCUCCUCAGUUCUUUCCUCUUCUCCACAUAAUAGCAGAAUCUCCUCAGUUCUUUCCUCUUUUCCACUCCAUCCUGCCUUCACAGAUUUUUUGGUUUCCAAGGGUAGUGGAAACAUUUUAGAUAUUUACGCCAAAG